rnacentral:rRNA from 1 species
GAUGAACGCUGGCGGCGUGCUUAACACAUGCAAGUCGAACGGUGAAGCAGGAGCUUGCUCUUGUGGAUCAGUGGCGAACGGGUGAGUAACACGUGAGCAACCUGCCCCUGACUCUGGGAUAAGCGCUGGAAACGGCGUCUAAUACUGGAUAUGUGAUGUGACCGCAUGGUCUGCAUCUGGAAAGAAUUUCGGUUGGGGAUGGGCUCGCGGCCUAUCAGCUUGUUGGUGGGGUAAUGGCUCACCAAGGCGUCGACGGGUAGCCGGCCUGAGAGGGUGGCCGGCCACACUGGGACUGAGACACGGCCCAGACUCCUACGGGAGGCAGCAGUGGGGAAUAUUGCACAAUGGGCGGAAGCCUGAUGCAGCAACGCCGCGUGAGGGAUGACGGCCUUCGGGUUGUGAACCUCUUUUAGCAGGGAAGAAGCGAAAGUGACGGUACCUGCAGAAAAAGCACCGGCUAACUACGUGCCAGCAGCCGCCGUAA